rnacentral:ribozyme from 1 species
UAAGAAAAAAAGAAAAAAAAAGAAAAAGAAAACAAGG